GCCUGGCUGGCUCAGUCGGUAGAGCAUGUGACUCCCGAUUUCGGGGUCGUGAGUUCAAACCCCACGUUGGGCA